GUCUAUGGCCAUGCCACCCUGAACGUCUGAUCUCGUCUGAUAUCAGAAGCUAAGCAGAGUUGGGCCUGGUUAGUACUUGGUUGGGAGACCACCUAGGAAUAUCAGGUGCUGUAGGCG
rnacentral:rRNA from 1 species